UCAAAGUUCCCCCACACAAAUUUUCCAAACAAAAAUUCUUAACCUCUCAUCUCUCACUCUCAACGACCUAGAUAUUUUUUUAAACUCUCUCAAACAAAGCUCUCUCUCUCUCUCUCUCUCUCUCUCUCUCUCUCUCAAUCGAACCUCUCGCUUUCUCUCACCCAGAAACACGCUGUUUCUCAUGCUCUCUCUCAAUCGAACUUCUCUCUCAAUCGAACCUCUCUCUCUCACCCAAAACCCUCAAUUUCAAACCCUCACAAUCAACACCAAUCGAAUCUCAGACAACCUUAACCUCAACGAAAUCUCAAUCAAACCACAACCCUAAUAUCGUCUUCUUAAACCCUACCAUUGUCCCUCUGAAAUCUCUUGGAAAUGGCUCUCUGAAAACUUGAGGUUGCUCUUUGGCUGGGAUAGAAUCCAUACUUGAUUUUACUUGGAUUGUUGUUCAAAGAGUUUGGGAUGUGGUUGAAGAGAAAAAUAGCGAGAUCAAGAGUUUAGAUGAGACUUUGAAUAGGUUAGUUAAGGAAAAGGAUCAAAUUGGUUAUUGGCUUAAGAGUGCUUAGUCAAAGAGGAUGGCAUCCGAUCCGUCUUCUAAGAGAAGUGAGCUGUUUUUAGCUACAUAAAAUGGGUUGAGGGACAUUGGGAUAGAUUUCAAAUUUAGUAAGAUUCUUGGAGAUGGAAAGCCCAUAGCUUCAAACAAAUCUGGAAAAAAAAAGAGGAUGUAAUCUAAUCUUUACUAAGCUUUUAUUACUCUUAUUGAGUUCUUUAUGUGUCAAUUGUGCAGGCCGGUGCUCGAGAGGAUGUUGUUAAAGCAUCUCAGUUUGAGAUCAUUGUGCUGUAGGACACCGUGAAUAAAUUAAGGUACUGGACAUUAGAAUAAAAUGAAAAAUUGUAUGUUUUCUUCUCUAACUUUGGUGUUUGAUAACUAAAAGUAUUCUCAGCAUUGCUCAUUGAAUAACUUACGUAUUUGCGGUUGGAGGGUGUAACUGAAUGAAUUUUUCUAAGACUUUGGACAAUGGCUGGAGGUGUUGCUGAUUGCCAAUUUUGGCAUAGGAAUCUUGACUUGAGGUGUUUUGAGUUCAUCACAUUUUGUGUUUUGAGUUAUGAAAUACUCCAUGUUCAUAAGCUCUUUUAAUAAUGAAUAAGUUUGUUUUAUGGUUUUUUCAGUGUAAACUCACAUAAAAGUAACAACUUUGUUGCCUUUUUGGUUGGGAAUCAUUUUCAUUCAAAAUUUGAAUUUCAUAAUGCAGUGACCUUCAUGAUUUUUGUGCAGACUUUACCCGUCUUUCUUCUGCAACAACUACCAGAGUGAAUACAUCAACAAGAUGAAUGAAUAAUGAUGAUAUGGAUGAAGAAUUUCAAGAUUUGGAAAUACAAGAGAUGAAAGAGAUGUUGAUGAGUUUAAUUUAGGGGUGUUAAAGUUUUUUUUUUUUUUGCUUAUAUAUGUAAUUUGAUUUUCAUUUUAGAUCGUAUAUAAAUAAAUUAACAUAUAUGUAGCGGUGUCGGUGUCCUAUAUAUCUCCAUUGGUUUCCUAUAUUGUUGUAUUUGUGUCAUCUCACCGAUAUUGCCUUAAUUAUUUUGUUACAUUUGUGUUUUCUCACUGAUUUUUUUUAUUAUUGGCAGGUUAAUCAUCAAUUUUGUAGCCUUCAAUGAGGCCCGGCAAGUUGAUACAAUCUAAAGCAAAAAAUAAAUAAGGGCAGCAAAAAGAUGAUCGGUGAAAUUAUUGCUGCUAGAGUGAAAAUAUGCAAAAUAGGAAACAAGGAAGAAAGGAAAAGAAAAGGAGUGGAAAGAGAAGUUGUAACUAAUAGCAUAUAUGAAAUGUGGAAUUAAAUAAAGGAAGAAGGGCGAGUGAUGAUGAUGAACUUUCCUGUGGUUUACCUCUUCAAAUUCAACGGUCCUUCUUCACAACUUCUUAGCAAUAUCACGUAUGUUGUUAGAAUAAUAGGGAUUUAGUAAAUAAUAGUUAAAAAUAUAUAAUGAGGUGGAAAUUAAAUAAAAAUGUGUACAAUUUGGUUGACAUAUCAUGAUCCAUAUCAACAUUGAUUAA